CUCGGCGGAUCAGCCCGCUCCCGGUAAAACGGGACGGCCCGCCAGAGGACCCCUAAACUCUGUUUCUAUAUGUAACUUCUGAGUAAAACCAUAAAUAAAUCAAAACUUUCAACAACGGAUCUCUUGGUUCUGGCAUCGAUGAAGAACGCAGCAAAAUGCGAUAAGUAAUGUGAAUUGCAGAAUUCAGUGAAUCAUCGAAUCUUUGAACGCACAUUGCGCCCGCCAGUAUUCUGGCGGGCAUGCCUGUUCGAGCGUCAUUUCAACCCUCAAGCCCAGCUUGGUGUUGGGACUCGCGAGUCAAAUCGCGUUCCCCAAAAUUGAUUGGCGGUCACGUCGAGCU
rnacentral:rRNA from 1 species